UACAGAGGUCUCGAGCGUUACCCGGAUUCACUGGGCGUAAAGCGCGUGUAGGCGGCUGGCCAAGCGUGGUGUGAAAUCUCCGGGCUCAACCCGGAAACUGCACUGCGAACUGGCCUGGCUGGAGUGCAGGAGAGGGAUGCGGAAUUCACGGUGUAGCGGUGAAAUGCGCAGAUAUCAGGAGGAACACCGGUGGCGAAGGCGGGUCUCUGGGCAGUAACUGACGCUGAGGAGCGAAAGCGUGGGGAGCGAACAGG
rnacentral:rRNA from 1 species